CCCUUAAUCAGGUGAACCCUAUAAAAGCACCUGUGGCCAACAUGGCUUCCUCUUUGUCUGGUUUGCCUGCUGGUUGCCACAUGCUCCUUGCACUGAGCCUCCUGUCUGCCUCUCUGCCUUGGGUGAACUGGUGUCUGGUCUGAUUAAGAGCUCUACACAAUCAGGCUCCCCAGUACAUCCCACACCUUCUCCCUCAGUAUAAGCCUCCCAGCCCUCUCAGAUCAGCCAACAUGGGCGUAUUGGUGGUUCCUGGUGCCUGUUUAAAGUCCAAGGGCUUUCAGGCUUUUUCAGUCCGGGCUCCCAAACUAUGGAACGACCUACCAGCUGAACUGUUCCUCAGAGGAGAACAAAGACAUUUGGUGACGCUGCUUUCAGCCACGACGCUCCCAAACUAUGGAACAGCCUGCUGGAGGAUCUGAGAGGAGCUGAUAGAGAUAUUGAGACUUUUAAACCUAAACUAAAAGCGUGUUUAUUGA